rnacentral:rRNA from 1 species
GACGAACGCUGGCGGCGUGCUUAACACAUGCAAGUCGAACGGAAAGGCCCUGCUUUUGUGGGGUGCUCGAGUGGCGAACGGGUGAGUAACACGUGAGUAACCUGCCCUUGACUUUGGGAUAACUUCAGGAAACUGGGGCUAAUACCGGAUAGGAGCUCCUGCUGCAUGGUGGGGGUUGGAAAGUUUCGGCGGUUGGGGAUGGACUCGCGGCUUAUCAGCGUGUUGGUGGGGUAGUGGCUUACCAAGGCUUUGACGGGUAGCCGGCCUGAGAGGGUGACCGGCCACAUUGGGACUGAGAUACGGCCCAGACUCCUACGGGAGGCAGCAGUGGGGAAUAUUGCACAAUGGGCGGAAGCCAGAUGCAGCAACGCCGCGUGCGGGAUGAAGGCCUUCGGGUUGUAAACCGCUUUCGCCUGUGACGAAGCGUGAGUGACGGUAAUGGGUAAAGAAGCACCGGCUAACUACGUG